UAUAACAGUGGCGGGAGUGUCCCUGUGAGAGGCCAGGUGUGGGCCACGCAUCCAGCCCGGGGUCCAACGGGUGUUCCUGGGGUGCUGGGGGAUUUGUGACACCCCAAAGAGAUAGAGCUAAAUUUAGGUGGCUUUGAAAAGGGAAGGCCAGGUUACCAGGGACUGGGUGUUUUCACUUCAGGCAGUGAACUGACGGUUUUAGAUACCCAGAAGGGAGCUUCCCACGUGGGAUCGAAAGACGCCAAGAGAACUGGCCCGCCUGCAGGUCUUAAGCCCCUCUUGCACUGCCUAUGUCGGGAGGGGCAUGGCAAUGGGAAAGGUGAGGGAAUGGGGGGCAGAGUGCAAGGGUGAGGUGAGCCCAGCGGAUGACUAGCGUUACUAUGGCAACCCUACUGACAAUGCUAUGAGAGGCUCCCCGCCUCACGCUGGUCUGCGGAAAAUCAAGCUUUGGAAAUGAGCCGUGAAGGAGGAAUGCUGGGAAGAUGAGAUGUCACAGACAGUGGAUCUGGUCAAGUUGUUUCCUCGCAGGCCGGCUUUGAAGACCCGGCAGACCACUGUUCUGGCCAGGGAGGAGAAAGGCAGUGAGCUCAUGACACCACGCCUUAAGGCCCAUGGGAUCAUUCUGUGCCCCAGGGAGGCUGUCCCAGCCUCACUAGAUUGUAACCCCAUCCCUGCUCGCUCUGCGGGACCCAAAAUCCCAUGGGAAGAGGAGUCUGGAAUGCCCUGAAGCUCCACCUCCACCGGGCACCGAAGAAGGUUCAAGGAGGUCCAGAGUACAGGACUCCCAGGGGACUGGCACUGGGUAGUAAGGCAGCCCACUCUUUCACGCAUCCCCCUAUAUGCCCCCCACCCAGCUUCGGACGCUGCAGUCCCCGCAGCCCCCGCCACCGCAGCAGGCGCUGCCAUUUUUGAGGAAGCCACAAACUGACUUCCAGGAGCCCGAGUCGGUUUAGAAAAUGCGCAUGCGCGAGGCACCAGGCGAUUCUCGCGUCACAGUGACCCCCAUCAUCGCCCAGGGGAUGGAUGGGUCCCUGAGGCUUGGAGAAGCAGGAGCCCUCCGUGGCAGUGCCUAGGCGUUAAGGCUCCGGCCUAACCUCUCCCGGGGGUCGACAGGAUGGUUUUUGGACGCCGGGAGUCGCGGAGGGCCGACCGUGAUGAAGAAACCUCAGAGUCUCGCUGUGUCACCCAGGCCUGAGUGCAGUGGUGCGAUGCACCAUCUCGGCUCUCGGCACGCUGCAACCUCCGCAACCUCCGCCUCCCGGGUUCAGUCGAUUCUCUUGACUCAGCCUCCUGCGAUUGGACUACAGGCAUGCACCACCAUGCCCGGCUAAUUUUAGUAGAGACGGGGGUUUCACCAUGUUGGGCAGGCUUGUCUCGAACGCCUGACCUCGUGACUCCUGACCUGGUGAUCCGCCUGCCUCGGCCUCACGAAGUGCUGGGAUUACAGGCGUGAGCCACUGUGCCAGGCCAAGAGUAGUAAUCUUUUAACCGCUA